CGUGGAAACGACCACAUAUAAAUAUACGACCUGUUUUGGUCGUCGCUAUUUUACACACUUUUCGAGACCGCGGAAGCGUACCGCUUUUAUCGAGUGGUAUAGCUCUUCGUAUCUCGCGUACAACUCAGUUUGACUCACGAUCACAUCUCCUAGCUGAGCUAACGUCUUUGCUUGAAUACUUUAAGAACAGAAAAUCAGCAAUAUCAUCAAAAUGGAUCCAGUUAUUAUUAUUGUUAUUGUUAUUUCGAUACUUAUAGUGCUUGGAAUAAUAAUCGGAUGCGUCUACUGUUGCUGUUGUAGGCAACGGAAAACUAACACAAAAGGACGCAGGAGGAAUGCUGGUAACGUAAAGGGGGUAAAACGAGGUCGGACUUCAAACACCCUUGACCUACGGGUGCGAAGCGCAGCAUGAACAAGUUUCUCAAGAAUAAGAAAAAAGAGCAAGGGCGGAGUAAUGGCAGCAAGACACUUACAAUCAUACCAGGGAAAGGUAACCACAGCCCCGAUGGACGUGCCAUUCUGAAUCCGGCUGUGCAGAAACACCUAAGAAAAAACGGCUACAAAUGUCGCAAGGAUCCCCAAAACGACGGCCGUGUCUUGGUUGAUCUGGAUUACUCUAAUAUAGUUUAAGAAGGCUCAGCACCAUAACCAUACCUGUGUAUAUCCUGUAGGCCAAGCGUCAAAUCAAAUUUCUGGGAACGAUGAGAUGCAAUCAACCAAGCCACCGAACCUGACGCCUCAGUUACAUGUUUCCAAUUAUUUGUUUUGUACCUAUCGUCUUGUAAAAUUUACGUUAAAAUAAAUAUUUUCGUUUU